UUUCUAUGAGUGCUUUAUUGUGAAAGUGCCCCAUAUAAUAUUUCCAGAGGUAAAAGAUGAUGGGAAUCUGCAGGGUGUUCAAAUCUGGAGGGGAGGACAAGUCUGAAGUUACCUUAAGAACCAUUGUCAAAGCACUUGAAUAAUCACAACAGCCCAGGAGCUCCAGCUUUAUGCAUAAGGAAGCCAAAAAGGCAUUGGACCACCUGGGACCCCGUGUGUGGAUCCUAUCCUUGUGCUUUGGUGCAGAUUUGGAGACUGCUGUCAUCUCAGAUGUGGCAUGGUGUAAGUGACUGCUCUGAAGCGAAAGCAACUGUUCAGAGAGAGAGGGAUCUGAAGCAAUGCUGUGGGAACUGCUCUGCAGGGCCUAGCCCAUGGUGCCCUGCCUCUGAUGGGACACCUUCUCCAGGAGGUGUUUGGGGGUUCACCUCAGCGGCAGAAGGCAGGAGCAAGCAUCCCUUUCCAAAACACACCUCUGUCCUUCGGCAUUCACAGAGCCACGCAAUGGGUGUGGCUGGAAGGGGCUGUGGAGGUCAUCCAGUCCACCCUCCCUGCUCAGGGAUGGAGUCUGGCAUGUCUGCAGGGCAGAGUGGUUACCUGGGGUUUGUGUUCACCGCUUCCAUCUGGGCUUGGAGCCAUGGACUCAACGUGUAACCUCUGCUUCUUUGUCCUCCCCGAUACUGGCUCAAGGGAAAAGCAUCCAUUUCUGUGCUAAAGGCAAGGCUGCAGCAACAGAAGAGGUGCAUCUUGGAAGAAAGGUGUGUUGCUGCUCCCAGCAAGGUGAGCAGAGAGGGGCUGGGGCCUUUUCCAAACUGCAGAGAGGUGAAAGGAUUGAGAAGCAAGCAGAGGCAGAGCGAGGGCUGCAGCGCAGCCCUGCCCUCCCCAGUCUCGUCACUCACGCUCAAAUCAGUGACAUUUUAUGUGCCAAGGGCAAAUAAAUACAGGAAAAUUAUGUGGAGAUGGAAGAUCAGGGAGGUGUGGAGAACGAAAGGUUGGGUGAGUGGAGGUUUUGUGGAGAGAAUCACUGCCUGGGACUGCUUGACAGAAUUAUACUUCAUUACUGCCGCUUCACAGCCUUGAUUUUCAUAUUUAUUUGUGACUCUUCUUUUUUAAACCAUGGGCUCUUUUGACAUGAGAGUCAUGCUGUGUAAAGCACUAUUGAUUAGAGUUUCUAAUUUCAUGCCAUUACAGCAUGACCAUUGGGGAAUGAAAUGUAUUUUAUUUUUUCCACCACAGCUAUGCCAGCAGUGUUUGGGACGCAGCCAUGGCACAGACUGUCAGCAGCAGGCAUUUUCAGCUCAAGAUCUUUGCUGUUUGAGCCAAAAGGCGAAUUUGCCCAAGGUCUAAGCUUUAGCUCAGUGUGUUUUUCCUGGAAUUAAAGCACAUCAGUUACAAAGUGUAUUUUGAGGGCAGAGGUUUCCAAAAGGAUGGCUGACUUGGGGACUUUCCAUUUUUCAGUCAGGGCUGCAGAAGACCAUUUCCCCCCAUUUUUUCCCCACAGUCAUACCUUUUUAGUCAUACCCUUUGUCUUUCCACAGUCUCUGGUUUGGUGCUCAAAAAAGUGAAGGAAAUUGCUAAAGAUAUGGAACCACAGCAUCUGAUGUGAUCAUGUAAUGUACAUAAUCCCCAUUAGGUACAAGCUGCAAGAAGGAAUUGACUGUAAACCUGAGGAAGACCUGGACCAGCCUUAUUUAAAAUGAUUUUCUCCUGUCACCAGCCAAAUUUGGAUCCUUCUGGGAUUUCCUUAGGAAAGGGUUCAUGGUCAGGGGAGUUGGUGCAUUAAUAGCAUCUCAUCC